AAUACUGCACAAUGGGGGAAACCCUGACGCAGCGACGCCGUGUGAGCGAAUAUGGCCUUCGGUUCGUAAAGCUUUGUUCUAAGGGAAGAAACGGACGGUACCUUAGGAGGAAGCCCCGGCUAACUACGUGCCAGCCGCCGCGGUAAUACGUAGGGGGCGAGCGUUAUCCGGAAUUACUGGGCGUCAAGGGUGCGUAGGCGGCCUUUUAAGUCAGAUGUGAAAGGCUACGGCUUAACCGUAGUUAGCAUUUGAAACUAAAAGGCUUGGGUGCAGGAGAGGAGAGUGGGAUUCCUAGUGUAGCGGUGAAAUGCGUAGAUAUUAGGAGGAACACCAGUGGCGAAGGCGACUCUCUGGACUGCAACUGACGCUGAGGCACGAAAGCGUGGGGAGCGAACAGG
rnacentral:rRNA from 1 species